rnacentral:rRNA from 1 species
GUGCCAGCCGCCGCGGUAAGACGAACCGUGCGAACGUUGUUCGGAAUCACUGGGCUUAAAGGGCGCGUAGGCGGCUUGUCAAGUCCGGGGUGAAAGCCUCCAGCUUAACUGGAGAAGUGCCUCGGAUACUGACAAGCUCGAGCGAGGUAGGGGCGGGUGGAACUUCCGGUGGAGCGGUGAAAUGCGUUGAUAUCGGAAGGAACGCCGGUGGCGAAAGCGACCCGCUGGACCUCUUCUGACGCUGAGGCGCGAAAGCUAGGGUAGCGAACGGGAUUAGAUACCCCUGUAGUCC